rnacentral:rRNA from 1 species
CCUACGGGGUGCAGCAGUGAGGAAUAUUGGUCAAUGGUCGGGAGACUGAACCAGCCAAGCCGCGUGAGGGAGGAAGGUACAGAGUAUCGUAAACCUCUUUUGUCAGGGAACAAAGGCGGGGACGUGUCCCCGGAUGAGUGUACCUGAAGAAAAAGCAUCGGCUAACUCCGUGCCAGCAGCCGCGGUAAUACGGAGGAUGCGAGCGUUAUCCGGAUUUAUUGGGUUUAAAGGGUGCGCAGGCGGCCUGUUAAGUCAGCGGUAAAAGCCCGGGGCUCAACCCCGGCCCGCCGUUGAAACUGGCAGUCUCGAGUUGGAGAGAAGUAUGCGGAAUGCGCGGUGUAGCGGUGAAAUGCAUAGAGAUCGCGCAGAACUCCGAUUGCGAAGGCAGCAUGCCGGCUCCACACUGACGCUGAGGCACGAAAGCGUGGGUAUCGAACAGGAUUAGAGACCCUAGUAGUC